rnacentral:rRNA from 1 species
GUGCCAGCAGCCGCGGUAAUACGUAGGGUGCAAGCGUUAUCCGGAAUCACUGGGCGUAAAGCGUGCGUAGGUGGUUUGUUAAGUGUGAUGUUAAAUCGUGGGGCUCAACCCCGUCGAUGCAUCACAUACUGGCAGACUAGAGGACAGCAGAGGCAAGUGGAAUUGGUAGUGUAGCAGUGAAAUGCGUAGAUAUUACCAGGAACACCAAUGGCGAAGGCAGCUUGCUGGGCUACUCCUGACACUGAGGUACGAAAGCGUGGGGAGCGAACAGGAUUAGAUACCCCGGUAGUCC